UAAGUACUCCCUCCGUUUCAAAUUACUCAUCGCAGAAAUGGAUGUAUCUAGAACUAAAAUAUAUCUAGAUACAUCCAUACCUGCGACAAGUAAUUUGGAACGGAGGGAGUAACUA
rnacentral:pre_miRNA from 1 species